UACGUAGGUGGCACGCGUUGUCCGGAUUUGCUGGGCGUAAAGAGCGCGCAGGCGGUCGUUCAAGGCUCGUGUGAAAGCCCCCGGCUCAACUGGGGAGGGUCACGCGAUACUGAUCGACUCGAAGGCAGGAGAGGGUAGUGGAAUUCCCGGUGUAGUGGUGAAAUGCGUAGAUAUCGGGAGGAACACCAGUGGCGAAGGCGACUACCUGGCCUGUUCUUGACGCUGAGGCGCGAAAGCUAGGGGAGCAAACGGG
rnacentral:rRNA from 1 species